UGAGCGCUGGGAUUACACGGCGCGGAGACAGAGCUGCGGGCUGUGUGUGCGCGCAGCGCUGGUAGUCUCCGCCUGUCUGCCUGCUAAUCGCACGUUUUCCGCUGUUAAAAAGAAACCGAGACGCUGUGGCCGAGCCCAGCGCUGUCUCUGUGACUGUGACAUGAAAAGAUGGCGCUCUCUCCCCUCCCCCAGCCUCCCUCUCGGCUUACACUUCCUCCCCAACAGCUUUUGCCUUCCAGUUUUUUAAAGCCCUCUUUUCUCCUUUCCUUCCCCCUCUCUCCCCCGGCCGGAUACCACGAGCUUCCCAGCCGAUCGCAGGGAAACCGGACACCUUCAUCAAUGACUUCUGGAGCCACUCUCCUGACGCUCGUUCUAUUUAUCGCCAUCUAACCCGAGAUAGUCCGUGAGCGCCUUGCCACAGCCCUUGGCCUAACUGGGGACGUUCGUGUGGCCAGCUGCGCCCUGCAGAAUUACCCUGCCUCACCGCUAAGGAGUGGGAGCAUUGAUUUCUGGUUCCAAGGCACUCUGUUCUAGCACUGGCUACAGCUGCGGGGCAUUUCGCAGCUGGUCUUUCGCCUAGACAAAUAUCAGCGAGAAUGUGAGCGUUAUUAGCCACAUAAAUAAAUCAUUAACGUGCACACAAA